GCUCCCGUAGUGUAGACCGGCCAAUCAUUCGAGACUCUCACUCUCGUGACUCGGGUUCAAAUCCCGACGGGAGUA
rnacentral:tRNA from 1 species